rnacentral:lncRNA from 1 species
UGGGGGUGCUGGACCCACAGCAGCUAUAGACUGACAGGGAAACAAUGCCCGACACCGGGCCCUUCCCACAUGCCCUGCUGAGGACCGACCUGAGUUUCUGAGGCAGCCUCUGCCGGGCCCUGUGUGGAGGGAGGAGGCAGAGAAUGGGUGACGGGACCCUGGACAAACCAAAGCGCAGGAGAAGACCCUGCCUGACUGAACCCAGCUAUGUGGAGAGGCCCACGGGAUGGAGGUUGAGGUGGAGCAUGAGCUGCCCCUGAGCAGACAGAACAACACAAAGGGGCUGGGAAUUGAGAGUGGCGGUGCCCACAGGGAGCCCACAGACAGGAAGACCCAGGCUGGAGGAUCAGGGCCCCCACGGAGGAAGACUUUGGACUGAAAGUCACAAGACCUUGCUUUUAGUGCCAGCUUUGUCACUAACUGGCAAUUUACCGUAAUAAAAUCACCGAUACUGGCCCAACCUUCAUUUCUUCAUCUGUAAAACAUAUUGCCAGGGACGAAGUUUGCAAUUUCGUUGACUUCAAAAGGUGGCUGUGGGAAUAAACUAAGAUACUGGAAGAGAAAUGGCUG